AACAACUGCCAUGUCACCCUGCAGCCCAAGACCGGUUACUCACUGAAGCUAAGCAGAGCUGAGCCUGGUCAGUACCUGGAUGGGAGACCACUAGGGAACACUAGGUUGCUGUUGGAA
rnacentral:rRNA from 1 species